ACUCAGUCUGUAACUGUUAGACAUAUUUGGCUGAACUGUGCAGAAAUUAUCUCUAAAAUAAAUUUAAAUACAAAAAGAUUCCAAAAUUUGAGGCUUCCUCAAUCUGACUUAUUGGGCUGCCUGUUCCAGCGCGAAGGGCUCAUGCCCGAAACCACUGAAGCCGUUUCAGGUGGAGAGGCGGAGCCCUCAAUUCCAGGCUGCAGACUCCAUUUUUUCCUAGCGAGAACGGCUCACGCCGGAGCCCGCAUUGGAUCGCUUUAGCAGUGACUGCUCUACCAGCCGGUAGAGCAAAGAGCGGCGUUUCGGGGCUUCUCCCUCACGCCCAAAAGCCACGUGGGCAUCUGGAGGCUUCCGACGCCCAGCUGAUUGCCGGUGCCGGAUUUUGCCGCGCCAGGGCGCAAUUAGCCCUCGGCUUCUUCUGAGCCUCGUGGGCUGCCGGCUUCAUUCCUCAUCGGAGGAAAGGACUGAUACGCCAGAUUUAGCUGUGCCUGGGGGUGAUCUCACCCUCGGCUUUUCUUCAAGCCUCGUGGGUGUUUGGGGGUUUCCCUCGGCUGAUGGAAAGCACUGGAAGCACUGCGUGGCAAAAGGUAGCCUCUUUACGCGGAGGAUCGGAAGGACAGCUCCUGGGCAAACUUCCCACUGGUGAGAUCCCCUCAUUUACACCCUAGUUGGGGUACUCAGGCAUUUUGGGGGGGAGAAAAAUCCUCUUUGCAGGAACACGUGUGGCACAAGCUGGAUGUCCGCAGGGCCCUCCGUAUAUAUCUUAAACAGACCUCUUCUCUCCGGAGGACGGAAGCGCUCUUCAUUUCGUUCCAGCCGGCGACCUUGGGUCAGAAGGUAUCCUCUCACACUAUAGGUAGAUGGCUUUGGGCGACUAUCACCACAGCCUAUACUUCCCAAGCCCUUCCCAUCCCUCGGCACAUCACAGCACACUCAACUCGCAGUGCCGCUACCUCGGCUGCCUGGGCCACACAGGCCUCCUUAGAGGAAGUCUGCAGAGCGGCUACUUGGUCCUCUCCAUCCCCGUUCAUCUGUCAGUAUAAACUGGACAGAUUUGCCUCGGCCGAGGCAGCAUUUGGAUGUAGGGUUCGCCAAAGGGUUUUUCCAGGAUCUGCCCCGUCGGACUCAGUUCAUCCCUCCUUAUAGGGUAGCAGCUUUGGCAUAUCCCCAAUCUGACUGCUGGCCCGGCAAUCGAGGAGAAAGGGUGUUGGCUUACCUGAACGCAUCUUCUAUCGAUUGCAGGGCCAGCAGUCAGCCCCACCCUGUUGUUUUUCUGGUCCUCCGGGUCAGGAGUGGGGGCCAGUGUAGAUCUCACUUGGAGGGGUGGGUGGCACUAACCAUAUCAUUGCAGCUCAGCAUGUCAGUCUGCCGUAUCUCCUUCAUCUGAAAGAUGGGAAGCAGAAGGAAGAGGAGGAGCUUUUCCUGGCAGACUCAGUCGUCAUCAGGCAUGAGUCACUCCCCAAUCUGACUGCUGGCCCUGCAAUCAAUAGAAGAUGCAUUCAGAAUAGAGAUUGCUGAAGAUUAUUUUCUUAUAACAACUUCAGCUAGAAGAUUCAGUAAACUGUAGUUGCCAUAGAGAUAUUGCAUCAUCACCAAGAAUACGGUCAAGUGCCCAGGAAAUGGCCUUUUGGGACAUGGCUUUCACUACAGGAAACAUUCAAACCUCGGAGCAAACAUGUUCUUAAAUACAGAGUGUGGAGUGCAGUCCUUGGGACCUCUUCCAGCCUCUUCUGAUGCAGAUGAUCACAGGAACAUAGUGAGGAGUGUGCUAGUUAAAUUAUUGAUGUGUAUUGAUGCAGCAUAUUAAGUAAUUAGAAAAUAAAAGCUUUGCUUAUUUUCAAGGUUAUUGUCAGAAGAUGUUAUUACUCAGUUUUCAGUGAACAGUCUAAGCAAGACCUCUAUGUCAUUUCAGCAAGCCCAGUACAGUAUAGGUUUCAGUCAAGGUUGAAUGGGAAGUUUAGCAUUUGGACUUUGCAGAGACACUGCUAGUCAAAUUUGGCAAACAAUCUGGCAACUAUAUUUUUGUCAAGCAUUCCUUGUAUCUCAGACAUUUUGAAGAUUUGGACAGGCAACAGGAAAAAAUAUUCAUUUCAGCUCUUCCAUCUCUCAUUUCCCUCUCACGGUUUCUUAAGUCAAUGUAAUUCUUCUCCCUAUUGUUUUUAUCCACUAAAGCCAGUGGUGGGUUGCUACCGAUUCACCCCUGUUUGGGUGAAUCAGUAGCGGCGGCGGCGGCGGGAGGCUCUGCCUACCUGCCCAGACAUCAUCAAAAAUGUUCUGCACAUGCACAGAAGCGUGCUGCACGCUCGCACUCCCAAUAGUGAACCAGUAGCGAAGAAAAUUGAAACCCACUACUCAUUAAAACCAUAGCCACAUCUAGCUUCAUCUCUCAUUACUGUACUCUCCCAUGUGUUUUAUCUGUAUAUUUAUAUCAAUUAGCUUUGUAUAGGUUCAAUUUGGAUAUACAAUUGAACUAAUUUUUAGUCAAAUUCAGAGCAAUUGAGUUGGAGCUGAGUUGAUGAAUUGAGUUGGAGCUAAAUGAGUAAUUACUAACUUAAAUCCUACUGAUAACAAUAGUCUGCUCUGGGCUCCUACAUAAUGCAGCAAGUCAUAAUGUUAUUUGCUUUUAGUCUU